rnacentral:rRNA from 1 species
AUGGGUGAUAGCGUGCCUUUUGUAGAAUGAACCGGCGAGUUACGAUUUGUUGCAAGGUUAAGCGGAAAAAGCGGAGCCGUAGCGAAAGCGAGUCUGAAUAGGGCGCAUGAGUAACAGGUCGUAGACCCGAAACCAGGUGAUCUACCCAUGUCCAGGAUGAAGGUGAGGUAAUACUCACUGGAGGUCCGAACCCACGCACGUUGAAAAGUGCGGGGAUGAGGUGUGGGUAGCGGAGAAAUUCCAAUCGAACCUGGAGAUAGCUGGUUCUCUCCGAAAUAGCUUUAGGGCUAGCCUCGAGGUAAAGAGUCGUGGAGGUAGAGCACUGUUUGGACUAGGGGCCCUUCUCGGGUUACCGAAUUCAGAUAAACUCCGAAUGCCAUGUACUUAUACUCGGGAGUCAGACUGCGAGUGAUAAGAUCCGUAGUCGAAAGGGAAACAGCCCAGACCACCAGUUAAGGUCCCAAAAUAUAUGUUAAGUGGAAAAGGAUGUGGGGUUGCAUAGACAACCAGGAUGUUGGCUUAGAAGCAGCCACCAUUGAAAGAGUGCGUAAUAGCUCACUGGUCGAGUGACCCCGCGCCGAAAAUGUACCGGGGCUAAACAUAUUACCGAAACUGUGGAUGAACCUCUUAGGAGGUUCGUGGUAGGAGAGCGUUCUAAGGGCGGUGAAGUCAGACCGGAAGGACUGGUGGAGCGCUUAGAAGUGAGAAUGCCGGUAUGAGUAGCGAAAGAAGGGUGAGAAUCCCUUCCACCGAAUAUCUAAGGUUUCCUGAGGAAGGCUCGUCCGCUCAGGGUUAGUCGGGACCUAAGCUGAGGCCGAUAGGCGUAGGCGAUGGACAACAGGUAGAUAUUCCUGUACCAGUGC